CCUACGGGUGGCAGCAGUGGGGAAUAUUGGGCAAUGGAGGAAACUCUGACCCAGCAACGCCGCGUGAAUGAUGAAGGUCUUCGGAUUGUAAAGUUCUUUUGUCGGGGAGCAAAGCGAGUCACGUGUGACUCAUUGAGAGUACCCGAAGAAAAAGCAUCGGCUAACUCCGUGCCAGCAGCCGCGGUAAUACGGAGGAUGCGAGCGUUAUCCGGAUUUAUUGGGUUUAAAGGGUGCGCAGGCGGCCUGUUAAGUCAGCGGUAAAAGCCCGGGGCUCAACCCCGGCGAGCCGUUGAAACUGGCGGGCUGGAGUUGGAGAGAAGUACGCGGAAUGCGCGGUGUAGCGGUGAAAUGCUUAGAUAUCGCGCAGAACCCCGAUUGCGAAGGCAGCGUACCGGCUCCACACUGACGCUGAGGCACGAAAGCGUGGGUAUCGAACAGGAUUAGAUACCCCAGUAGUC
rnacentral:rRNA from 1 species